rnacentral:rRNA from 1 species
CCUACGGGCGGCAGCAGUGGGGAAUAUUGCGCAAUGGGCGCAAGCCUGACCCAGCAACGCCGCGUGAAGGAAGAAGGCUUUCGGGUUGUAAACUUCUUUUGUCAGGGAAGAGUAGAAGACGGUACCUGACGAAUAAGCCACGGCUAACCACGUGCCAGCAGCCGCGGUAAUACGUUGGUGGCAAGCGUUGUCCGGCUUUACUGGGUGUAAAGGGCGGGUAGCCGGGUUGUCAAGUCAGAUGUGAAAUCCUUGGGCUUAACGGCGGAACUGCAUUUGAAACUGUUGAUCUUGAGUGUUGGAGAGGAAGACGGAAUUCCUAGGGUAGGGGUGAAAUGCGUAGAUAUUAGGAGGAACACCAGUGGCGAAGGCGAUCUGCUGGAACACAACUGACGGUGAGGAGCGAAAGCGUGGGGAGCAAACAGGAUUAGAUACCCUUGUAGUC